UUAUGUGUGUUCCUGAACGCUAACAUUUUGGCGACCCAGAUGGGACCUUGUGAGUGCUGCUGAGCGAACUCGUGACCUGAUCACGCUCCAGCCGGCACCAAGGGAUUCUCGCGGAGCCCAUCCAGCCGCGACCGUCUCCGCUGCUCACAACGUCCCCGGGAGAGAAAGAAAGUAGGAAACUGUUUGCCUUUGAAUGGGAAAGUCUAGAAAAUGGAAGGAAAACUCAGCUCACCUGAACACAACUCCCACAAAGAUACAAGAACAGUCCAACACUAUUUGGAAGUCAGCUGGCGAAGGAGCUGGAGAUUUGGACUGAGAAUGGGCAAGUAUGAGAGAACAAUACCUGCUGUUACAGUAUGUUGAUGAUACACUGACAACUACAGAAGAGAAAACUACCUGCAUAAAGUAACAAUUGAAAUUUUAAAUCAACUGGGAAUGGGAGGAUAUAAGGUGUCUAAAGAAAAGGCACAAAUUACCCGACACACUGUGAUUUACCUGGGAUGUGAAAUCUCACAAGGGCAAGGUAAGCUGGGUACUAACUGUAUUCAAGCUAUUUGUGCCAUUCCAGAACCCCAGAACCUACAUGAGCUACAAGUUUUCCUUGAGAUGACAGAGUGGUGCCGUGGAUUAUGGACUAUGGAACAAUUGCAAAGCCCCUGUAUGAAGCCCAGAAGACACAGCUGUUUACCUGGGGAAAACCACAGAAGGAGGUCUUCCCCAAACUAAAGGAGGCAUUGGCAACUGCUCCAGUGUUAAGACUACCUGAUUUAUCCAAGGAUUUUCACCUGUUUGUGCAUGGAAGACUGCACCUAGCACUGGGAGUGCUGAUGCAAUGUUUGGGAAGCUGGAAAAAGCUGGUAAGCUGCUUUUCCAAACAAUUUGACAACAUUAAGUGCCAGAUGGCCUUCAUGCCUGCGGGCAGUUGCAGCCACUGUGAUGCUGAUACAAGAAGCUA